rnacentral:tRNA from 1 species
UGCAUUGGCUGGGAAUCGAACCCGGGCCGCCCGCGUGGCAGGCGAGCAUUCUACCACUGAACCAAAAGC